ensembl:lncRNA
GGAGGCAGCAGCGGGGAAGGCAUCCUGGGGCUGUGCCUGGACCGAUCAGCAGGAAAGGACAGACAGCCAGGGCCAGACUGCCACCUAGGGGAGGGUAGCCCCCUUCCCCAGUCUGCCGGCCCCCGCCCCCCACCUGCCGGGCCCAUUUCUUUUCUUCCCUCUGAUCCUGGUACCUGGUGACCAGACCCGGUGCCUCCUCUGGGCCCUCCACACCCUCAAACUCCCCCAUGCUCUCAGCCUCCCUCCCACUCCCUGGCCCCCAGGCCCUUGAAGCUGUCAGGCAACUCUGGGCUCCAGGCCACAGAGGGUGGCCUGGGGUCUCUGGAGCCAGAGAGACAUAGCCCAAAUCCUCCCACCAUUUCUGAGCUGGGUGACCUUGGUCACAGCUCCCCGCCUGUGAGGUCACUGGAAAGACCACCCCCAGAGAACGGAGCCUCCGAGGUCCUGCGAGUGUCCAGCCAGUGUCCGGGGGGUAUAACCUUAGCGGGCUUGCAUAGGAGCAGUGAUGACAAGGCUACCGGAACCUGAGCUCCCCGACCCCCACCCCACCCCCACGGAGACUCGGAUCCACUGCGAGUGACUCAACAGAAGCGGCCCUGCCCCCAUCCCGUCCAACUGGCGUCCACAGGUGGGGAGAGGACAGAGCUCCCAGAAGCCGGAUGAGAGGAGUUGCUCCGGGUCACGAGCUUGGCAUUUCCCAGCUCCACCUCCGUGUCCACUCACCUCCAAGGUCAGCCUCUGCAGAGCCACACAACCUGUGGGAGGGACCCCUCCAAGCCCCAGGGGGUUGGCAAGGAGGACUGGGAUGGGACAGCAGCCACCGUGUGGUGCAGCAGUGAAUCCUACGGCCCCCACCUGCCAGGGAGCGAGUCUGGGCUCUGCCGGUGUGAUGCUGGGUGAGAAAACAGGCCCAGAGAAGGUGGGUCCCUGCCCAGGCUCACACAGCUACGGAGCAGUAGAAGCUGGGAUUUGAAACUGAGCCCCAAGACAGAUUCGUGUUGACAGAUGUAUAAACUGAAUACUGACCCUCCAGAGAGAUCCACGCCCUAAUCCCGGGAACCCCUGUGAAUGUCACCUCCCGAUGGCAAAGGGAUUCUGCAGAUGGGAAGAAGUGAAGGAUCUUGAGAUGGGAACAUUAUCCCCGAUUAUCCAGAUGUGGAAACUGGCCAUGCAAUUUGCCUGAAGUCACAGCAGUAACGAAGGACAGGAUUUGGACCUAAGUGUUCUGACUCCGAGUUCCGUCCUCCUUCCUUCUGACCACCGCCGCCUGAGACCCGAUGGCCAGACCUUGCUGCCCCGAGCCACGCAGGACUGGGAGAUGAGCUGGGCCAGGUGAACCUCUGAGAUCCAGCCUUGGACAUGGCUUGGCCCAGUGUGAACCCGCGGAUGACCCCAUUUCACUGGCUUGCUCCACAAAUAUCCUUCACUGAGUGUGUACCGCCUCAGGGCACAGCCCCGGGGACUCCGUUCCUCACCUCUGCUUCAGGGCAGGCAACCCAGCCAGGGGGAAGGGUGCAGCCCCGCAAGAAGAGGAGAGUCACGUCUGCUGCCAGCUUGCUGUGAGAUCUCGACAUUUCCCUCAGUUUUCUCAUCUGCCCAACGGGCUAGCAGCACCCGCCUCGGAGGAGCAAGUGAAAUAUGUGAUGUGAACACGCUCACCACGCCCUCUCCUCUCCCUUGCUUCUGUGCAAUAACAGGGCUGGGCUCGUGCAGAGGUCCCAAGGCGGGUUCGUGGCUGGACUUCAGGAGCAGGAGCCCCCGAAACCACAGGCGGUGUUUGUGUGUGCACGUGCAGUCUUCACCAAGAAGGCCUGUGACUUUCAUUAGAUUCUCAAAAGGCCCAUGACUUAGUUGCUAAUGAUAAUAAUCACUAAUUGAGUGCGGACUUCGAGCCAGCACCUGUAAGUGCUCGGUGCUUAGUACACCUUACUUCAUUUAAUUCUUAGUAGACGGUAGAUGGAAUAGUGAUUGAGCUCAGGAACUCUAGAGCCUCAUUGUCUGGGAUCAAAUCCUGGCUCCAUUGCUUCCCAGCUGUGUGGCCUUGGACAAUGACCUAACCACUCGGUGCCUCAGUUUCCUCAGAUCUAAAUUAGAUGACAAAGCUAUUUGCUUCAUAGGGUUGUUUUGAGGAGUAAAUACAGGAACAGAGCUUAGAACCAUACCUGUCCCUAAGCAAGAGCUCAGUAAAUACUGUCUUAAAGUAGAUGAGGAAAUGGAGGCUCAGAGAGGUCAAGGAACUUGUCUACAGUCAACCAGCUGGGAAAGAGCCCAGAUUCUAAGCCUGGUGGUCUGACACUGGAGCCCUUGCAUUUAAUGGAUAUGCUCACUGUGUGUUCUUGAAAAGACCCUGACUUCAUCCCACAUGCACCCUAAUUCUUACAUUCAAGGCUCUAGAUUUUACUGACAAGGGAGAGGUUCUGGCCACACUGGUCUCCAAGGUUCCCUGACAUUCUGAUACUUGAGACUUCCACUGUGCGAGUCCCCCCAGCAGGCUGACAGGCCUCCAGAGGAGCUGCAGAGAAAGAGCGAGAGAGCACGUGUGGGCACCUGAACGUGUGCACAUCCCCUUCCCGUGCCCCCCCCCCCCCCAGCCUCCACAGGGUGCAGCUCCCAGGCCUCCCUGCACAGCCUCCCAGGAGAGGCGCCCCCGCAGACUCCGCUCCCUCCCGGCGCCAUGUGACACUGGCGGGUGGUGUGGGAGGGAGGAGGAGAUGAGCUCGUCACUGGCUGACAGCUCUCCCUCUGGGGCAGGGAGCUCCCUGGCUGCAACCCUACCCCAGAUGGCUUUUAACAGAAGAGGAAACAGAGAAGUGCUUUGCUGGGCCACUUCCUGGCUUAGCAGGACCUGGGCAAGCAUCACUUCUCAGGGCCUCGUUCUGCUCAUUCAUAAAAUAAGGACAAUUGCUCCUAUGCCACUGGGCUGUGGCGGACACGACAGGAGAAAAGGCAUGUGUGUAAAAUACCCAGCCUCACAGACUCCACACUCUCAGGUCCUCUCCAUCCUGUUCCCCUCUGGAGGAAGAAGGGGACUCCUGGUCUGAGACCAGAAGUGGCAUCCUUUAGCAUCUUGUCUCAGGGACGGGAGUUCAGCUGAGGCAAUGGCUGGAGACCUGGUGUGGGCUGGGUUGGCCUGUGCAGGUGACGAAGCCACAGGUACUUGAUAUCAGCAAAAUGGCCCAGCACAACUCGAUCUGUGGCCUCCUGGAGCUGAGCGAAUGAGCUCCCUUCUCCAACAGACCUCAGGCUCCACUUUGUUCAACUGAGUCUCCAAGAACUCCACCAGCCGUACCAUCCUGUGGGCUGGGUGGCUAUCUCAAAGCGCACACGGCCAGAGGGUGGCAGUGGGGGAGCCUUCUCCCUACUCUGCAUAUUUGCUUUCCAACAAAUACCUUUUAGAGCACCGACUACAUGCUAGGUGCCAGGUUCUAGGUGCUGGGGGUACGGCAAUGAACAUGAGACUGUAGGAAGCUGAUAUUCCGGCGCGGACAGUCAGACUGCACACGGCAGGUAGUGAGGAGUUUGUGCUUAGUGCCGUUGAGUCGAUUCCAACUCCUAGCGACCCCGUGUAGAGCAGAGCAGAGCAGACGCCUGCCCAUCUUUUUGCGCCAUCCUCUCAUCCUCUGGCACUGUUUCAGAUGAUGCUCUGCUGCUAUUCACAGCGUUAUCAUGGCCAAUUUUUUCAGAAGUGGGUGGCCGGGUCCUUCUUCCCAGUCUGUCUUAGUCUGGAAGCUCCGCCGAAACCUGUCCAUCACGGGUGACCCUGCUGGUAUCUGAAAUACCAGUGACAUAGCUUUCAGCAUCACAGCAACAUGCAGCUGCCACAGUAUGACACCCAACAGGCGGGUGAUGUGGUUCCCUGACCAGGAAACGAACCCGGGCCCCGGCAGUGAGAGCACUGGCUCUUAACCACCAGACACCAGGGCUGGCUAGUGAUAAGCACUGUGAAGGACCACAAAGCAGACGGAGGAGACGUGGAGGGACCGGGUGCUCAUUAGGCCGAGGGUCAGAGAAGGCCUCCUCCAUGGGAGACAUCUGAGCAGGACCAGAGGAGCCAGGUGGGGGCCACGUGAGGAUCUGGGGCAAGAGCAUUCUGGGCAGAGGUCAACUGCAAGGCGCUGAGUCUCCAACUGCCUGUCAGGAUUGAGAAUCGUCAAGAAGUCCCCGGGGCUGUGCGCAGUGAGCCGGGCGGUGGGAGGACGCGCAU